rnacentral:rRNA from 1 species
UACGUAGGUGGCAAGCGUUGUCCGGAUUUACUGGGCGUAAAGAGCGCGCAGGCGGUCGUCCAAGUCGCGUGUGAAAUCUCCCGGCUCAACUGGGAGGGGUCAUUCGAUACUGGCGGGCUCGAGGCCGGUAGGGGGAAGUGGAAUUCCCGGUGUAGUGGUGGAAUGCGUAGAUAUCGGGAGGAACACCAGUGGCGAAGGCGGCUUCCUGGACCGGUUCUGACACUGAGGAGCGAAAGCGUGGGGAGCGAUCCGG